UCCGGUUUGUCACCGGCAGUCUCAUUAGAGUGCCCAACUUAAAUGUAGCAACUAAUGACAGGGGUUGCGCUCGUUGCGCCACUUAAGGCAACAUCUCACGACACGAGCUGACGACAGCCAUGCACCACCUGUGCACGAGCCCCGAAGGGCUGCCGUAUUUCUACGACAUUCCCGUGCAUGUCAAGCCCAGGUAAGGUUCUUCGCGUUGCGUCGAAUUAAACCACAUGCUCCGCUGCUUGUGCGGGCCCCCGUCAAUUCCUUUGAGUUUCAACCUUGCGGCCGUAGUCCCCAGGCGGUUCACUUAAUGCGUUAGCUGCGGCACCGAGGGUUACCCCCCAACACCUAGUGAACAUCGUUUAAGGCCAAGACUAC
rnacentral:misc_RNA from 1 species